rnacentral:rRNA from 1 species
AUUGAACGCUGGCGGCAGGCCUAACACAUGCAAGUCGAGCGGAGCGGCGGACGGGUGAGUAAUGCCUAGGAAUCUGCCUGGUAGUGGGGGAUAACGUCCGGAACGGGGCGCUAAUACGCCAACCUAUCGGCUGACCCUAGGUCGGAUUAGCUAGUGGGGGGGGUAAAGGCCUACCAAGGCGACGAUCCGUAACUGGUCUGAGAGGAUGAUCAGUCACACUGGAACUGAGACACGGUCCAGACUCCUACGGGAGGCAGCAGUGGGGAAUAUUGGACAAUGGGCGAAAGCCUGAUCCAGCCAUGCCGCGUGUGUGAAGAAGGUCUUCGGAUUGUAAAGCACUUGAAGUUGGGAGGCGUUACCAACAGAAUAAGCACCGGCUAACUUCGUGCCAGCAGCCGCGGUAAUUC